rnacentral:rRNA from 1 species
GACAGAGGUGCCAAGCGUUAGGCGGAAUCACUGGGCUUAAAGCGUGUGUAGGCGGAUCGUUAAGUACCUUGUGAAAUCCCACGGCUCAACCGUGGAAGUGGCGUGGAUACGACCGGCCUCGAGGGGGGUAGGGGGACCUGGAACUUCCGGUGGAGCGGUGAAAUGCGUUGAGAUCGGAAGGAACGCCCGUGGCGAAAGCGAGGUCCUGGACCCUUUCUGACGCUGAGACGCGAAAGCCAGGGGAGCGAACGGG